AUGGGUCUAUUAGGCCCAUUACGUACUUUAACAACGGGCUACCAUUCUAAAAGUGCGGCAUACCUUAGAACAAUGAACAAUGAGUAUCAAUCCAACUAUACCCCAUCAAAGAUCCGAGUGUUCUUGUGGCGCCUCGCACGACACUCCAUACCAACUACGGACGUUUUGCAUAGAAGGAAUAUGGCAACCCAGAUUGUCUGUCCGCUGUGUGGAUGCGGAGAUUCGUGGAGACAUGCUCUAUUGUCAUGCACUAUGUCGAGAUGUAUAUGGGCUUUGACGGAGGAAACUAUUGUCACAAUGAUGACGGAACACGCGGAGCCAAGUGCAAAAAACUGGCUGUUUGAACUUCAUGAGGCGCUGAACCAUGGGAGUUUCACGAAAUUGGUCGUCACUCUGUGGGCUGUGUGGUAUGCAAGACGCAAGGCAAUUUAUGAAUCCUUAUACCAAAAUCCACACCAAACAAUAUCCUUUGUAGAAUCUUAUCUGCAGGAGCUACAACAGAUUCCCACUUGUACACCAAGAGUGCAGGUAAUUGCGGCCCCAGCUCAGCAACGCCGAUGGAUCCCACCUCCGGCUGGUGUGGUCAAGAUCAAUGUGGAUGGUGCUUUAGCAAGGAACAGUAGAGUGGGAGUAGCGGCUGCAAUCUGUCGAGACUCGAAUGGCGCCUUUCUUGGCUCAUCAACAAUUGUCUUUUGA
rnacentral:rRNA from 1 species